rnacentral:lncRNA from 1 species
UGGGCGUGGCAGCAGAGUCAAUUUUUAUAAGAGACUUUCAGAAGAUACAGUGUCUACACCAAGAGGCACAUGACACAACCUGGACUCUGGGCAAACCACCAGGUGCACCCACAUGAAGUGAGGGCUUAUUUGGCCUCCCCAGGACGGACUGGAGCAUCAGUAGUGCCUGAGUUCAUCAAAGGACAGAUGCUCAAGACACCUUGAUCACCAU